rnacentral:rRNA from 1 species
UUACGGCCAUAUCACGUUGAAACAUCGGUUCCCGUACGAUCACCGGAGUUAAGCAACAUCGAGCCCGGUGAUUACCUAAAUGGGUAACCGCUUAGGAAUACCAGGUUUUUG